GAUCCUGGCUUAGGAUGAACGCUAGCUACAGGCUUAACACAUGCAAGUCGAGGGGCAGCAUGAAAGGAACUUCGGUUCUUUUUGAUGGCGACCGGCGCACGGGUGCGUAACGCGUAUCGAACCUGCCUCAUACUCGGGGAUAGCCUUGCGAAAGUAAGAUUAAUACCCGGCGGUCUCGGAUGGCCGCAUGACUAUCCGAGUGAAGAUUUAUCGGUAUGAGAUGGCGAUGCGUCCCAUUAG
rnacentral:rRNA from 1 species